rnacentral:rRNA from 1 species
UACGUAGGGAGCGAGCGUUAUCCGGAUUUAUUGGGUUUAAAGGGUGCGCAGGCGGUCUGUUAAGUCAGCGGUCAAAGCCCGGGGCUCAACCCCGGCCCGCCGUUGAAACUGGCAGUCUCGAGUUGGAGAGAAGUAUGCGGAAUGCGCGGUGUAGCGGUGAAAUGCAUAGAUAUCACGCAGAACCCCGAUUGCGAAGGCAGCAUACCGGCGCCCAACUGACGCCGAGGUGCGAAAGCGUGGGUAGCAAACAGG